GAUGAAGAACGUAGCGAAAUGCGAUAAGUAAUGUGAAUUGCAGAAUUCAGUGAAUCAUCGAAUCUUUGAACGCACCUUGCGCCCCUUGGACUUCUGAAGGGCAUGCCUGUUUGAGUAUCAUGAACACCUCAACUCCUUAUGGUCUUCCAUGAUGAGCUUGGACUUUGGGGGUUUUGCUGGCCUACAGUCAGCUCCUCUAAAAUAAAUCAGCUUACCGGUGUUUGGUGGGUAUCAUGGGUGUGAUAACUAUCUACGCUCGUGGUUUUCCACCAGGUAACCUUCAGCAGUGGAGGUUCACUGGAGCUCAUAGAUGUCUCUCCUCAGCGAGGACAGCCCUUUGAAUGUUUGAUCUCAAAUCAGGUAGGACUACCCGCUGAACUUAAGCAUAUCAAUAAGCGGAGGA
rnacentral:misc_RNA from 1 species